GGAGGGCCGGUUUUGUUUGAAGCACUUGUAACUUCUUUUCUAUAAUCUUUUGCAUCAUGAGAAAAUCCACAGGAAGAUCUCAGUGAUAUCCCAGCAAAAGAAGGACCACCAUCAGGAUUGCUGGAAUCAUUAUCUAAACUAAAUGGUAAGCCAUCUUCUUGAAAAGUUCCCUCGGUGCGUCUUACAGGAUUGCGUUCUGUCAGAGAAAACCCAUCUAUUACCCUUUGAGGUCUCUGAUUCCUAGACAACUCA
rnacentral:misc_RNA from 1 species